GAUGAACGCUGGCGGCGUUCCUAAUACAUGCAAGUCGAGCGAACAGAUGAGAAGCUUGCUUCUCUGAUGUUAGCGGCGGACGGGUGAGUAACACGUGGGUAACCUACCUAUAAGACUGGGAUAACUCCGGGAAACCGGGGCUAAUACCGGAUAAUAUUUUGAACCGCAUGGUUCAUUAGUGAAAGACGGUUUCGGCUGUCACUUAUAGAUGGACCCGCGCCGUAUUAGCUAGUUGGUAAGGUAACGGCUUACCAAGGCGACGAUACGUAGCCGACCUGAGAGGGUGAUCGGCCACACUGGAACUGGGACGCGGUCCAGACUCCUACGGGAGGCAGCAGUAGGGAAUCUUCCGCAGUGGGCGAAAGCCUGACGGAGCAACGCCGCGUGAGUGAUGAAGGUCUUCGGAUCGUAAAACUCUGUUGUUAGGGAAGAACAAAUUUGUUAGUAACUGAACAAGUCUUGACGGGACCUAACCAGAAAGCCACGGCUAACUACGUGCCAGCCGCCGCCGUAA
rnacentral:rRNA from 1 species